GAUGAACGCUGGCGGCGUGCCUAAUACAUGCAAGUCGAACGAGGUGCUUGAGUAGCAAUACAAGAGUAUCCUAGUGGCGAACGGGUGAGUAACGCGUGGAUGACCUGCCCCAAAGUGUGGGAUAACAGUCCGAAAGGAUUGCUAAUACCUCAUGUGGUUAUCGGAUUUAGAAACUGAUAACUAAAGACAGCAAUGCGCUUUGGGAGGGGAUCUGCGUCCCACUCAGCUAGUUGGUUGAGGUAACGGCUCACCAAGGCGACGACGGGUAGGGGACCGUGAGAGGGUGGCCCCCGACCAACUA
rnacentral:rRNA from 1 species